AAUUAGCUCGAUGCUCCGUCAUGAUGGUUGGGGAAGAAUCUCGCCUAUAGAAGUCCUCUUUCAAUAAUUAAUAUUGAAAUAAUAUGAAUGACUAAACGAAGCCGAAAGCAGUUCCAACAGCCCAGAAGUAUUGCGGAGGAGCCGAAUUGACCGAUACCUGAAUUCCAAUUACGUCCAAAGAAGAUACAUGGAUUUCAACUACGCUCAACCUGAUAAUUAAACAUUAGACGUCCGAAAUGAAACACACUUACAUUGGUACUUCCUGUCGUUCCUUACAUCCGACGAUACGUCCUAAUUGGAUAGUAAAAAUGUCCGACCAUCGACCGGAUUAGGAAAUGAAAGCGUUUCUCUCUUUUCUAGUCUUAUGUUUAAAUGGUAAAUCGAUCAAUGCUGUGUUUAUGGAACGGUUUUAUGAUGUCGACGAGAGUAUUUCUAUUGAUAAGUGGGACAUUAAAUCUCUUAACUCUAGCUAUCCUAAAGGUAUUGUAUUAGUGCAUAUAAAUUAAGAACCUAUAUAUUUUUCCACUAAUCUAAUAAAGAAUAUUAGAUAUGGAAAGCAAGACACUUGAUAAAGGAUAAGAGAUCGUAAAAACGGCGGAGGAAGCUGGUGCUGCUCACGAAUUUAUUACAAAUCUUCCAAGAGAUAUGAAACCCAAGUUGGUGAGAGAGGCAUCUAAUUACCUGGUGUGUGGAAACAACUUGUUGCUACUGGUAGGGCGUUGCUGUAGCAACCACUUAUUUCAAUAUCGGAUUUUAAUAAACGAGAACAUUGGAUUGUGAAAACAGUAGAGUGGUUCAAGAAGCAGUUGGAAAAUCUAACAAAAGAAUGAACAUUGUUAGCAACUGCUCGUAGAUUAAAAAUCUCUUAAAUCUUCCGAUCGUGAUGUACUGCAACGUGAUGUUGCUAUAGAGGUUGGUUUGAUAAUGGAUAAUCACUUUUUCGUAUGCUUCAUUGAUAUAUUCAUUUAUUGGAAAUUAGAUUGGGUUAUAAUUUUGUUAAGUAAAUAUAUGUCCGUCGAAGAACUUUAAACGGAAAUGAAAAUAGCCGA